rnacentral:rRNA from 1 species
CAGCUCGUGUCGUGAGAUGUUCGGUUAAGUCCGCUAACGAGCGCAACCCCACGUUUAGUUGCUAACGCGUGAAGGCGAGCACUCUAGACGAACUGCCGUUGACAAAACGGAGGAAGUGGGGAUGACGUCAAAUCAUCAUGCCCCUUAUGUUCUGGGCUACACACGUGCUACAAUGGCCGGUACAGACGGACGCAAAGCCGCGAGGUGGAGCAAAUCCUAAAAAAGCCGGUCUCAGUUCGGAUUGCAGGCUGCAAUUCGCCUGCAUGAAGUCGGAAUCGCUAGUAAUCGCAGGUCAGCAUACUGCGGUGAAUACGUUCCCGGGCCUU